GACGAACCGUGCGAACGUUGUUCGGAAUCACUGGGCUUAAAGGGCGCGUAGGCGGGCGUGCAGGCCCGCGGUGAAAUCCCCCGGCUCAACCGGGGAAGGGCCGCGGGGACCGCACGUCUGGAGUGAGGUAGGGGCGCGCGGAACUGUGGGUGGAGCGGUGAAAUGCGUUGAUAUCCACAGGAACUCCGGUGGCGAAGGCGGCGCGCUGGACCUCCACUGACGCUGAGGCGCGAAAGCCAGGGGAGCGAACGGG
rnacentral:rRNA from 1 species